rnacentral:rRNA from 1 species
GAUGGACGCUGGCGGCGUGCUUAACACAUGCAAGUCGAACGGAAAGGCCCAAGCUUGCUUGGGUACUCGAGUGGCGAACGGGUGAGUAACACGUGGGUGAUCUGCCCUGCACUUCGGGAUAAGCCUGGGAAACUGGGUCUAAUACCGGAUAGGACCACAUUUUGGAUGGUGUGGUGGAAAGUUUUUCGGUGUGGGAUGAGCUCGCGGCCUAUCAGCUUGUUGGUGGGGUAAUGGCCUACCAAGGCGUCGACGGGUAGCCGGCCUGAGAGGGUGUACGGCCACAUUGGGACUGAGAUACGGCCCAGACUCCUACGGGAGGCAGCAGUGGGGAAUAUUGCACAAUGGGCGCAAGCCUGAUGCAGCGACGCCGCGUGGGGGAUGACGGCCUUCGGGUUGUAAACUCCUUUCGCUAGGGACGAAGCGUUUUUGUGACGGUACCUGGAGAAGAAGCACCGGCUAACUACGUG